rnacentral:misc_RNA from 1 species
CACUUCAAUUCCUGUUGAUUUUACGAUGCAUAUACUAAUUCCUAAUUGAUUGCACACUGCCUGUCUAUAUAUGAAGAAAAACUGUUGCUUCUGCCCAUCAAAUGAUUGAAGUUGUAGCUUAGACAUUGUUAUAUGCCUCAGAUUGAUCAUCUUUCAUAGAGUUUGGCUUGCAUGUGUGAAGCAUGAAGUUGCAUGCUGCCACCGCUUCUCCUACCGUCAAAAAGAUCCAUUCUUGGCCUAUGUUCUCGAUGAACUUGGACUUGUUUAGUUUCUUCAUCACCUCGGAUCCAGGGUUGGCC